UGGCGGGCCGGGGCCACAGGUCUCCAAGGGAAGCACUGGCCACGGGAAGCUUUUCUCUGAUGUCACAGGCUUAGGUCGGAUCCUGGUCCCUGCUCUGUGGAGUCUGAGGUUUUGGAGAAACGUUAUUUUCCAUAGCUUUGUAAUUGGUUUGUGAAGUUGGGGGUGGGGGGGAAUGGAGACAGAGAUAGAGAGAUGCAGAGGCAAAGGGAGAGAGAACAGAGAAAGCGAGAAAUGAGAGAGGAUAGAGACAGCGAGAGAGCUAAAGACAAGAGAGUGCCUUCUCUCCCCGCCUUUUCUCUCUCCCUCUCCCUUUCCCCUGCCCCCCCUGCCCCAGGCCCCCCCGUUCCUGCCCCUCAGCUCCUGGGGCUCGGUUACCAUCCCUGGGCAGAGGGGCCCUGCCUGCAGCCAGAGAUCCAGCCUCCCCAGCUUCUGUCCCCCAUCACCAGGUCCCAGGCUGUCUUCCACCCUGCACCCUCCUCCCAGUGACCAACUCCCACCCUCAGGCCCCUCCGCCCUUGCCUUGCUCGCCCCCUCAAGUCUCAUUCCUGUGACGCGCCCUCCCUUCUCCCAGCCCCCAUUCCCUCUCAGUUCUUUUAUUUGGAUCUCCGUCAUACACAUGGCCCAGAGAAGAUGGAGCUGUUACCUCCAUUCCCGGCCGCUUGCUGUGGUCGGGGGUUAGGGUUCUUACAAGGUGCUGAGUCACGGGAAUUGAUGGCACCCUGGGAGAUCCACAAGUCACAGCCCCCACAAUCCCACUCUUGGAGGAGGAGUCGGCCUUUGAGUCCGCACCUCUAAACGAGCGUAUAAAAGGACGAGCCUCAGCCAGGAGUCAGUGGCGGAGAUUGAGAAGCCAGGACUCAGCCGGGCAGAACGAAGGAGUCGGGAGAAGAGAGACUGAAGCUGGAAGAGCCAAAGGACUAGCAACGGGCCCAAGGAAGGACAAAACCUGGCUGCCUUUGAGGUGGUUAUUACACCGAAACGAAGGCUGCCUCCAGGAGCUCCCCAAGAGACCUGCUCCCGGAGAACGAUUAUAUUUUAGAGAACGCUACAAUCGGGCCCCCAUGGAACUUUGCAGGCCGCCAUCUUUGUCAGCGCCCUCCCCCAGACCGCGCUCACGCCUCUUCUGGUCCUGUUGGGGGCGUCACUGUGGCCCGCUCCCCGUCCUGCCUCCAGUUAAAACAAGGAGAUAAAGUGGGGAAAAAAGACCCUUUGCAACAAAUGAGCCAAAAGCGGCCACAGUGAGUGAGACCAAAUAGAUGGGUCUCGCUGUCCCCGGGCCCUCCAGAGACAGGGUGGGUCGUGCAUUGGUCAGAGUCCUCACACUUGGGCGUCACCUGCCACCUUCCCUCUCUAAUCAGUUGCCACCAUAGUGACUUUUUUUUAAAAAUAGUAUUUAUUUUUUCCCAAUCACGUGUGAAGAAAGCAUUUAACCUUCAUUUAAAAAGUUGCUUAGGACGGCUGAUUUCUCCCUCCCAUUGCCCUGGCCUGGAUACCCAGCAGUUUGCGCCGAGCUUUGUGCGGAUGGUUGUGUCGCACAUGUCGCCAGCUUGGUCAUGGUGGCAAGUUUAAGGUGGCAGACCAGGAGUCGUCGGCUUGGACCCUCCAGUGGACGACCUUUGUCAGCCCGUGUCUUCAACAUCAGGCCACAUCCCUCCCGGCAGACCAUCGCCUGGCUCCGCGCAGACUGUCCUGAGCGAGCCCGGGUGUGACCGCGCCACUCCCCUCCUCCAAACCUCGAGCUCCUCUCGGAGAGUGUCUGCACCUGCUCGGGAUGCACCUUCCCUGCAGCCCCAGACCAGGGCAUUUCCCUCGCACGUAGAACCUGCUUUUCUCUUCCGAAGGCCUGACUGUCAGCAGCAAAGCUUAGAGUGACGGAGGGACAGCACCCCUGCCCUCAGGGCUUUCUUCCUGGCCUGCCCUUGGAUCUCUCCUUCUUCCCCAAACCCUGGAUCUUCUUUCUUUGGACGGCCUUUGUCCUUAAAACCCAGCGCUUUGUAUGGUGCCCAGCACCUCACCAGCACUUGCUUACUGUGAAACCAACCUCUGCUGCCCAGCCAUGACCGGGGGACCGACUCCCCAUUGGCAUAUCCACAUCCCCAGCUGGAGGAAGGACCAGUUAAACCCUCUGCUGUGUCCCCAGAGAUCCCUGCACCAGAGCCCUGGGAAGGCCAGGACGACUGGGCUUAAGUGGAUGGAAGCUUGUCAAAGCAACCUUUCACAGACUCCUCGGAAAAGCAGUUCCCCUGCUUUGGGCAGAGCGCUGGGUGCCCGAGGACGCCUUGGUGAGGGCGGAAUUCCCCUGCCCGCCCCGGGAGCGUGUGGGUUUUGGGCGAAUUCCAGGUUCUUUUACAAAUACAAACGCACUUAAAACAAC